CUGAAGUGAUUUGGGGAUGUUGCUGGUUCUCUAGGGAACAUGUGCACGCCUUGUCAUCUUUAUAUCUCCACCUGUGCACUUUUUGUAGGCCUUUCCAGGUCUAUGUUGCUUCAUUUUACCCCAACUGUAUGUCAUUAGAAUGUUGUGCCUAUAUAACAUAUA
rnacentral:misc_RNA from 1 species